rnacentral:ncRNA from 1 species
UCGAGCCGUGUGCGGGGUAACUUGCAUGCACGGUUCCCAGGGGAGGACGAGGUGGCAACACCUCGUCCUUACCCGAC